GUCAGUUGGAAUGCAACUGUUACUGGUCGGAAGAUAUUCUUGAUUGGAGAGGAGAGGAAUCUAUAUAUAUAAAAGGAUAGUGGGCAGGGUCGUUAGGGAGGAAAGAGCCAAUUCAGGAGAAGGAGGCUACUGUUGUGUGAAUUAGAUGAGGAAACAAGCUGAACAAGAUCUGUUAACUCAGGAAGGGGUCGGGGAGAAGGGAGAGGAAGAAAGAAAGAGGGGAAGGAAGUGGAAAAGAGAAAAAGGGAGAGAGAAGGAAGGGAGGGGAAGAGAGAAAGAAGGCAGGGUGAGGAAUGGGCCCAAGCCUGUCAGUGGCCUGAGGAGAAUGAGUGGCCAUGGCGGUGCCUAUUGGCAGCAAGGAAGGGCCCAGUCAACCACUGCUGCUGCUUGGGGCUACCAAGGCCAUUAGCGGAGACAGGCAGGAAGGCAAGGGCCAGGCCCGGGCCUGUUAGAGGCCUGAAGAGUAUGAGCGGGUGGCAGCAGGGAAGAAGGACCUGGUCAACCGCUGCUGCUGCUGCUCCUGUGGGGAGGAGCAGAAGCGGGCCUCGGGUGAGGAUGGGGAGGUCUCUGGGGACAGAGGGCUGCAACUUGGCCAAUAGGUGCCAGCAACGCUUCAGCCGCGACCAAGAGGGGUGAGGGGGGUGGAGUAAAGGGAUGGAGGACUAACCAAGGGGGUGAGGGGUAUGGAAGAAACCAGAUGGAAGAGGAGGAGCAGGAGUGUAGAUCAGGUGAGAGUGGAGAGAUCUCGGAGGGGAGGGGAGGGCUGUAUGCAGAAGGUGAGGGGAACAAUCAAGUAGUAGUGUGCAGAUGCUCUGCGUGGGUUAAGCUAGUAUAUAUCUUAUAUAUAUUUAAUUCUCUAAGACGUACCCAUGGCUAAUCCCAUGUGUUGCAGCUCUCGGGAGAGUUCAGAAAGCUGCUGGAUAGCCACGGGGACAGGAAACAGCCAUGGUGGCUGGUGGAGGCAGCCUUUCGGUGGAGCUGCACUGGCGGUACAAGGAGGUGAAGCAGCGCCAAUGCUGUGACUACAAUAAUUAUGAAAGUUGAUAGCUGAGCUCUACAUCAGAUUUCACUAUUGCAGCGAAUACAAAAAAGCUCAAGGAAUCUGAAGAUCACACUAUGCCAAGUCCUGAACAUACACACAACACUAUGAACAAACUUGGACCUGAACAAGAGUCCUACAUGCAUGCUAACAGAGCAUCUUCAUUCAUUUAAAUGGAUGAAUUGUCAAAAUUUUGCAAUCCUAUGGAUGUGCUAAUGCCAGGUCCAAGGGAUAUUUAUCCCACAGAAGGGACAGAGUAAGGAAGAACCAUCACAUAGAUACUGUUAAUUAUGAAGAAACAACCAAGGCAUCCUAGUAGUUCAGUUUGCAGAGAGUAGGGGAUCUGAGUCAAUAGUCCUCCUUCUGGACAGAGACUGUGAGAGAAGAAUGCAUAGGGUAUGUGGACAUAGUGUGAAACCUUGGGUAGAUGAGCCUGUGGUUAAUCUGUGGACCUGGGAAUCAUCCCGCAGACAAUCGUCCAACUGCAGUUUCACAACCUCUGGCUUCUGGGCAGAGGGACCCCUCCCUUUUCCUGGUCUGCCAAGGCUGCAUCCCAGCAAGCUCCCUACUGCUCACAUCGCCAGAUUGCGGGCAAGGCAUCAGGACAUACAUAGAGUGGCAACCGUUGGCCAUGUGUGGUGUAGUGGUUAGAGUGCUGGACUAGGACCGGGAGACCCGAGUUCAAAUCCCCAUUCAGCCAUGAUACUAGCUGGGUGACUCUGGGCCAGUCAUUUCUCUCUCAGCCUAACCUACUUCACAGGGUUGUUGUGAAGAGAAACUUGAGUAUGUAGUACACUGCUCUGGGCUCCGUGGAGAAAGAGCGGGUUAUAAAUGUAAAUAAAAAUAAAAAUAAAAUAAAAAAGGAACUUUGAGUGGGCAUGCCCAGUGUGAUCGUGCCUUUUAGGCAUUGAUCACCUGCCCACAGCAGAGAAAAUAUAUUUUAAUCCUUUCCUCACACCACUUGUACCACUACCCUUGCAAGAGCCCUGCAGCAAUACAAUCUCGCACAAACACAUGUAUUGGGGGAUGGAGAGGGGCACUAGUGUUCUGUUACUCCAUGAAGGGAUCAUGAUCUUAGAGAGCGCCUUCUUUUACAUGAUCCCCACUGCACGUUAAGGUCAUCUGGGGAGGUCCGUCUCCAGUUACCACCAGUUGGUUUGGUGGCGACUCAGAGGCGGGCCUUCUCUAUAGCUACUCCUGGGCUGUGGAAUGCACUCCCAGCAGAAAUUCGUAAUCUUAAUUCUUUACUGACUUUCAAGAGAGCCCUUAAAACUCAUCUGUUUGGCCUGGCCUUUUGGGGUUUUUAAUUAGUUUUAAUUGUUUUAAUGGUAGCCUGGUUUUCAGGGUUUUAAUUGUUUUGAUAGUUUAAUUGUUUUUUAAGAUGUUUUUAAAUUGGUGUUUAUAUUUGUAUUUCUGUUUUAAUUGUUUUUAAUGAUUUCUGUUUUUUAAUUGUAAACCAUCCUGAGCCAGCUCGGAAGGGCAGUAUAAAAAUCAAAUAAAUAAAUAAAUAAUGACUUCCUAAGGGGGGAUAACUAUAUGAGGGCAGGCAAAGGAUCCUGAGGUUUAGUCCACUGUGACGAAAGGAUUAUAUUGGACUCCUAGACCUGGGGCCAGGCAGUCCAAGAAGCCCCAACACACUCCUGCUCCCAUGUCAGCCUGCCGGCUGAGGAUUAGUCCUCUCAUGAGAGGGCCAGUCCACUGGGGAAAACCAGAGGCACCAUGUGCUUCAGGUCUCCACUGGACAGUACUCUCAUGAGGCCAGCUAUCCAACUAUAAGGGCCCCUGCUGAUGUGGGGCUCCCAGUAUCUCUGGCUAAUAAUAGAACUCUUACUCCAUACCUUCCCAUCGCCACUCAACCCUUCCAGACCUCCAAGCAGUUUGUUCUGCUCCAUAUGUCCAAGUAGUUUCCGGUGGGUAUUGUUGGGAAAGACAGCGGAUGGAUACCAUGUCCGCAGCCGGAUGGGCUGGGCUGGGACUGGUGUUGUGGUAUAUGUAAGUUGGAUACCUGGGGGAUCCCAGGGCAGGACACCCAUGGAUUUCAGUGAUCACUGGCAAACCAGGUGGCCAUGCAGGGUGGGCAGGCAGGCAGGCAGGCAAGCAGGAAGGAAGGAAGGAAGGAAGGAAGGAAGGAAGGAAGGAAAUGUGUUACAGGGAGACCAGACUGUCAGAGGGGGAGCUUGGACUGCUUUUCAGAAGUCACAGGGACCAGGAAAGGUGUUGCUGGGGUACCCUUCCCUGGAGCUUGCGUGGAUCUAGCAACCGGGCUGGGCAGCAACAGCUAGAGUCGUCAGCUGUCCCGUACUGCACGGGAUGUCCCUACUUCCUGCGGAAAAAUGCUCGUCCCGUUCAGGACUCAACUUCUCACACUUUUUGACCUUUUCAAUCUUUUUUUAAAAAAAAAUUAAAAGCCACCGCUAAGCACCAAUGGAGCGGAGACAGCAUCAAGAGCUCUCCCACCUCCCAAACUAUGUGAAAUGAAUGGCUCUGGCCAGGACAGGGGCAGGCUUACACGCGGAGGGCACUCUGGCAAUAGGUGGACUGCAGAUGAAUUGAAGGGAAGGCACUGCCAUUGACUGCAGGUGGAAUUGAGAGAAGAUGGUGAAAGAGUCCUUUGCUCAGCCCCUCCUUCCCAAAUGAGGCAGACGGGACGAUUUCAGGCUUUAAAAGUAAUUUUUUAAAAGCCCCACCCUUAGGUGGCCAUGCCCUCCACCCCCCUCUUGGAGUCCCCGUCCUGAUUUCAGCCAACGCAAUGUUGGCAACCCUAGCAACAGCCCUCCGGCCCACAUGUGUGUCUCUAUGGCCAGGCACUCUCAUGAAAGAGUGCGCCUUGGGAGAAGGGAGCAUGCUUCUAUUGCAUAUGAUGUUGUCACACUGAGCUCUCAAGUCCAUCCCUGUUUCCCUUUGGAAGGUUCUGCUUAUGAGUUAUGGCUGAGACUGCAUGCUUGAACCCUAGGAGAAGGGGCUGAUCCCUCCUUCCCCUACAAACUGGUACAAAAAGUAGAACAGAAUCACUGAUAAAAUCCAGGGUAUAUUCUUUUAACCCAAAGUUUUGUCUUAUCCCAUUGAUGGUAGACUUUCUUUUACCAACCGUCUGGGGUACCUCCAAGCCAUAGGGGGUGGGGGGAGACAAGGCUGAGCAUCUAGAUACGUGUGUGUGUGUGUGUGUGUGUGUGUGUGUGUGUGUGUGUGCGCGCGCGUGCGCAGAGUUAAGGGCACCCCUCUAUGAAGUUGGAGGGAGCAGCACUGUCCACAGGAACCUUAAAAAUGCAGACACUAUCCAGGUAUCCAACAACAAUGCAAAUAUUGAUAUACCGCUUUCCAACAAAAGUUUACAAAGCGGUUUACAUAGAGAAAUAAUAAAUAAAUAAGAUGGAUCCCUGUCCCCAAAGGGCUCACAAUCUAAAAAGAAACAGAAUGCAUAUCAGCAACAGUCACUAGAGGUACUGUUCUGGGGGUGGAUAGGGCCAGGGAAAUCCAUGCCCUGCUGCCCAACCAGACAGCACACACAACACCUUUGAAAGGAUGCCUUGCUGGGCAGCUGCACUAGAUCAUAUGUGUUUAUUAAUGAAAGGGCUCCUUGCACAUGUGCCCUUUCACCUUUCCCUGCUAGAAGCUGUCAAAACAUUUUGUAUGGUAAUUGCAAGUAAACAUCCUGCAUGCUGAGCAAACAUACCAAGCCGUUGCAGGUUUCUCAAGAAAUCCAAUCAAAUGGACUGAGACAGACACCAGAUUUGUGGGGCUACGUGUUGUCUCUUUCUCAAUAUGACUGGACAACAGGAAGGUUUCCACAGCCAGGGUUUCCACCAGUUUAUGCACAGGGUCGGCACAUUGGUGUUUCUGCCAAGCGAUGUGGUUGUGGCAUCACUCCCUUGGCAUGUGUGCCCUUUGUGGGGAAACAACCGAGUUGCUCAGUUUCUGGUGUUACUGGGGCUUCAUGUGCACAGAUCUCUGCAGUCCUGAAUUGCUGACGACCUCUCUUGCUGUGCCUGUCUUGACAUCCCAUACCUUUUGUGUGGAUGGACAAUGUGAGGACUAUGAAAAGCACUGGGCUUUCCCCAAAUCAGGCUGCAUGACAAAUAAAAUGGUGGGGGGUAGAAGAGCUGAGUACCACCUUUAUAGUUUUUCUAAAUGAAACUUUAAAAAAAAUAUUUCAGCAUUCCUCAUAGGAAAGAUUCCUAACCCAUCUAUCACUUUGUCUUUUUCUGCUACCCCUUGUCCUAGUUUUACAAUAUCAAUUUUGAGAUAAGACAGUGUUCUAAAUGUGACCAUAGCAUAGCAAAAAUAGAAAGAUGUUUGCAUUUGGCCUGACUGCAAUGGAAGCAUUUUGUCUGAUUGGUUUUACUAUUACUUCAUUAUUCAAAUGGAUGGUGUUUUGUUUUUUGUGUGCCUGUAUGUUUUGUAAUGUGUCCCUGACCUUCAGGAUAUAUAUAUGUAUUAUAUACUGAUAAUGUAUAAAAUAAAAGCAAUAAGUAAAAAUGCAUCCAUCAUCUGACAGUUGUGUUCUGGAAGAAAAUAUGCACUAUCUCAAAACAUUUAAUGAUUUAAGCAAAUGGAGCUAGUGUGAGGAAUAACAACUGCUGAAGAGUGUAAUUUGAACAGAAAAAUCAGUUAUUUUGAUAUAUUUUUAAUGUGCUUAAUGUUCUGAAUGAAACUGGUUUUAAUGUGGUUAUUGGAUUUUUUCAUACAUUUAUUUCUAUUGUUGUAUAUAUUUACUGUACAUUGAGUUGCAAUGCAUAUAUGAAAGAGAAAAAAAU